rnacentral:lncRNA from 1 species
GUCAUUGUCAAUACUUUUAACAAAAUCUAAAACACGCGCAUCGGAUCCACAGUUACGAGCAGAAAUGGAUUGGAACGACUGUAGGUUUAUCCUUCUGGUUGAGAGAGUUAGUGGAACAUGCUUUGAGUCGGCACUAGAAUAAGCAUCCGCGCAAUGCAAUGUAUUUGAAAUGAGAACCAUCGUGGCACACGACAGCAACCAAAUGCCGAUUUCUCUUUAGAUAAUAGAAAGGAACUUGCGGAAUCGUUACACUUCAAUAAACUAAUUUCUCGAGCCCUAACGAAUCACUUGUGAUGAAUAGUGAGGCACGGUUCAACUCAUUAAAUGAUCACUGUACAUGAAAAAGGCUGAAUGAAAACAUGAGUUUUUAGGAUGUUAGUAUAGCUUAGAUGAAAACGAAUAGAGGUUUAUACACUCUAUCUUGACUUACAAAAGCCAAUUUAUAAAAAUUUCUAAUUUUUAUUCAAAAUAUAUAUACAUAGAUAUAUAGUUCUAUGGGAAAUAAAUAGAAAGCAAAGUAUAAGCAUUUUGCCAUUGAUUUGAGAGGCAACAAAAAUAGUCUCAACAUUGCAAGAAUAGGAAGGGACAAUUUAAAGACCGUUUAGCGUUUUUAACGCGUAAUUGGGGAUAAUCCAUAAAAUAGACAUAAAAGAGCUACUCCAAAAGUUUUUACACUCCAAGUUCGAUAUCGCAAAGAGCAUCCACUUUUUUAAUACUAUCCUGGACGUGAUCGUAACCACCGAUGAGAUCCAAAAGACCAUGUUUUUCAAAAAUAUGAAGAACUUGCGGGUCUAAAGAUACCAAAUGAACCUCAACUUGGUGCUCGACAUACUCUUUAAGGAUACGCUGAAAGGCAAAAAGAGCACUUGAAUCUAUGGAAGAGACACCUACCAUGUCAAAAACAACGACUUCAAUGUCUUCAAUACGACGAUAAGGAGUUUCUCCAGGAUGCAUUCUUGGAUGUCCGUACUUUUCUAAACGAUUUAGUCGAUCUUCAAGCUGACUGACGUUUGCAAAAAAAAGCGGUUCAGGAAUGCGAACGACUAAGAUGCGGGGGGCACUCUCGACAGCAGUCGAAGAAGGAUUAGUUCGAUGGGAUAAAGUGGAAGCUGCAUCUUCAAGGAUAAAUUCUGCUGUACCGUUUGAAGUAGGAGAUCUAAACAUGAUGCGAGAACGGGUGGAGUGUCUUAUAAUUUGCAUCACUGUUAUGGACAAUCCAAAGAUAAUUCCAGUUUCCAAUCCAAACAUCAUAGUGCAUGUUGCGAUAGAAAAUAUAAUUCCCAAUUCCCACCACACUCUUAUGCGGGCUAACUUGAAAAUUUCCACGGCAGCGUCGGCGAACAAUGAUACACCCAAGGAAACCACCAUGGAAGCAAGCAUGCAAGUAGGUACAGUGGAGAACACAGGCAUGAUAAAGAAUGUUGCUAACAAAAUAAGUACACUACAAGCAAUAGUAGCUACCUGUGUUCGAGCACCAGACAUUAUGUUACAUUUAGUACGUAGGUACCCACCGCAAAUAGGAAGCCCACAAAAUAAACUGCUUCCUAUAUUCGCAGCCCCUAAAGAUAUCAGCUCACGAUUGGAGCGUAUUAGAUUAUUUGUCUGCAACGAAAUAGCUUUCACUGCAAUAACCGUAUCUAUGAAAGCAAGGAAUGAACACAUUACUCCAGUUUGUAAACUUUGGGUAAUAAAGUGAAGCUUAUUUUUUUCAGGUAGGGGAAGCUUAGGAAGUAGUAUUGUGGUUUUAAUUUCUCCUAAAAUGGCAAUACCGUAAUUGGAAUGCCAGUCAAACUUUUUGCUCAAAAAAGAACCUAACAAUAGUAUGAUAACUGCGUCAGGAAUCGAGACAAUUCGAGGGUAUUUAGCGGAAAGCUUGGAUUUAAGAUUUCGACAACCUAUGAGCAACGAUAUUGUAAUACAUGAAAGUAUAGUGGUAUAUAUGUUAGCUUUCGACAUGUUCCUUAUUAAAAACAUAAGUUUAUCAAUAGGAAAGUCCGAACCUUUAUAUUUGACUCCAGAAAAUCCAAAAAAUACAGAUCCUUGAUUGAUCAUAAUAAUCAUAGAUAUUGACAAUAUGCAUCCACGUAACAAUACUGGGGAUACAAGUGCAUCCAAAAAUCCCAAGCGGAACAGCCCGGCAGCUAAAUUGAUAAUUCCUGCGAUAAAGGCAAUCAAUCCAGUUACUAAAAUUGCUGUUUCUUGAGGAACAUCGGCUUUCGACAAAACGCGUUGGUGAAUGUUUUCAGCAAUAAGCAGACACAUACCAGCCUCGGGUCCGAUGGAUAUCAGCGGGCAAGCUGUAAAAAGACAAUAUAAUAUGGGGCCAAUUGCAGUACCUGUUAAAAUGUAUAUUGGGGGGACACCUAGAAACGUUUGUGCAAAUGAUAAUGCAAUAGGCACAGAGAGACAAGCAGUCGAGCAGCCAGCUAACACAUCCCAAAUGAUAUUUCUUAAGGAAUAGUUGGGAAGCCAAUGAAGGACAGGGAUAUAAUAAUUGAUUCUUCGAACCAAACUGGGUUUUUGUUGAGGAAUGUUAGCACGCUUCCAUGUGGAAGAACGUCUAGCUAAAGAUUGAUAAGAAGGAAUCUCGUGUAAGGGUCUACUGGUGCUAGUUCUGUUAUCGAUAAAGCUAGUUUUAGGGCCCAAAAGAUGGUUUUCUGAAGGAGACGACAUUGCUACAAACAGAAACCGUUUGAGGUGCAAAAGUAAUAUGUUACGAUUAAAAGCUUAGUAAUUUCAAAAAUCUACAAUACUAACGUUAAAUAAAAACCGGAUAAAUGCUCAACGUGCAACGAAACCAAAUUGAAAAUUAAAGAAAAGCGAUCAAUUUCGUCGAGUCCCACAAAUGGGAAAUAGUAAGAAAAAGUUGGAGUUUAGAAAU